CAAAGCCUUUUGCAAGUCAGUAUCCCUUUUCCUCAGGGAGACACUGAUGUGCUGGAGCAAACAACAUUUUGGGAUUUCCACAUGAGUGUGGAGGAGAGCACUAAACCUUCAGCUUUGGUGAUAGUUGGCACAAUGAUCCACUUGAGAUUUGAAGCAGAAACCUUCCUUGGAGAACAGGCUGCAUGUUGCAACAAGGAACAUUUGACAGUUAAGCCAGCAAAGCCCCAAGCAGAUUUUACGGACCAGGCACGUCCGUGGGCCGCGCAGGCACGUGUCACUCACUGGAAGAUGCGCACCAAUUCCCGGAGUCGCGGUUUUACAGCGCUCUGCCCAU